ACAGAAGACUUUCAAUUUUAUGAGAUCCCAUUUUUCAAUAGUUGAUCUUCGAGCCUGAGCCAUUGGAAUUCUCUGUUCAGGAAAAUUUCCCCUGUUUCAAUGUGUGUGAGGCUCUUUCCCACUUUCUAUUCUAUUAGACUCAGUGUAUCUGGUUUUAUAUGGAGGCCCUUAAUCCACUUGGGUUUGAGCAUUGUACAAGGAGAUAAGAAUGGAUCAAUUUGCAUUCUUCUACAUGCUGACCAUCACUUGAACCAACACCAUUUGUUGAAUAUGCUGCCUUCUCAUUUACUGGAUGAUUUUGGUUUCUUUGUCAAAGAUCAGGUCAAAAAGGAAUGAGCAUAAGGAAAAACACAGGUUUUUGAACAACUACACACUGCACCAUCUCUGCAUUUUUAGGCAUCAUUUCACAACUUUUAGUGUCUGAACUUCUGGAACAAUUUCCAAUCGUUCUUCCCCCCUGAGUGUCAUCUCCUUUUCUUAUGUUAGAACACAUUACUAGAAAUUUGAUGAUAUGUUCACUGAUGGCAGCAUGAAUUGGUAGUUUGUGUCUUAUGUGUGCACUUUUAUGUUUGCCCUCAGUUUAUGUCUGUAAACCAAACCCAAGGCAUGAGUAGUAGAUUUCCCAUGCUAGCAAGCCAUAGAGGAGAUGAAUGAACGAUAACCUAAAAACAGCAAACGAUCAGUGGAAAAUGCCUUGCCAAUGGAAUAGAAAAUAAAUAUAUAAAAGGAUGUUUCCUGUUUUUUACUUAUGAAUAAUAGUAGCAUGAUUUCAUGUCCCAAUCUCUCAUGUUUAAUUAAAUAAAUUCCAGUAACUUUUCUGUUGUUUCCUAAAUGUGGGUACGUAACUCUAUCUUAAGUUGUAGUUCAUAUACUGGCAAAAAACAACCUACAAUAAAAUUAAAUAGGGCAGGAUAUCUGUCACAUAAUGAAUUUUGACCAGCCAGCUAGACUUCCCCUGAGACUUGGGCUCCUCUCUCUGCAGUUCAUUUUAGCUCAAGGGAGACGUUUACACUUACUUAUUCAGCCUCGUGACUAUGAGAAGAGUUUCUGUCUUGUUACAACAGAAACUCUGAAUAGCUAUUAUAAGCAUCGUAACCAAAAGCAAUCCCUCACUGUUCUUGCUGUUUGGCUCGCUUCUUCAUGCAUUUGCUGAUCAGACUCACAUGCUCUGGUUCAAGUGAAUCCAGGGUCAUCAUAAAAUCAGAUACUUGGCUUUGUCUUGGGUAAGGUUUCCUCCAAGCUUCUACUCUUUGGCUACAGCUUUAGCCAUCAGAUGUUUCUUGAUAUGAUGUAUUUUAGAAUUAUGCCUUUUAUUUCCCUGACUUUUUCUUUUAACAUUUAUUUUUUGUAACUUGUGUGUAGUAGAUAUACACAAUGGAAUUGUAACUAAAAACAAAAUCAUCAAUAUUGCAAGUUAAUAGCAUAGAGUGAAUGUCAUUCAUUGUACUGAUUGGUGUAUCCCAUUCACAGAAAGAAAAAUUUACAUGUCCUCCUUCCGAUGUAGAUACUCACUUCCAAUCUCAAAUAUUGUAUGAUUUUUUUUUCUAAGACUUCCAGGAGACAGAAAAAAAAAAUAGAAGACAUACAUGUGGGAGUAAUUGGAUUCCAAGAUGGUAGGCAAACUUGUGAUUUUGCCAUGCAUCAUCUUCCAACUUUGUUAGACUUGCUGUGUCCAUUCACUCAUGCACCCCUGUGAUCCCAGCCCUUCUUCUUACACCUUCCCAGCCCUUCUCUGCACUCAUGUUAUACACAUGCUGCUGUCCCCUCUCCCUGCACUCAGGUGGCCACUCACAACAGUCUUGACCCCCAUUUCCGGGGAAUCCAACUUCCUCUCCCAGUCUUUACAAGAUACAAGUUCUUACCUGGCUCACAUACAUACAUGUAGGCAAAUACUCAUACACAUAAAAUAAAAACAAACAUUUUUAAGUGGUAACAUGCAAAAUAUAUUUAAAAUUGUAUUUUCAUAUUAGAAAGAAAGUUAAAUGAGAAAAACACCAUUAUAGCCACUUUUUCUCGUUCGGAAUUCAAAUUAAUUGGACAAUUCACUUUUUAAAAGAUAUAAAAAGAAUUACAUAUUUAAUUACUAAUUUUGCUAAAGAAAAAUAUACAACUCACUCAUGUGAAGUUUUUUAUGCACCCAAACUGGCUCUAUCCUAUAUAUAUAUAUUUACAGGGACUGUAAUGAUGACUCAAUGGCUAAGAGUACUUGAUGAUUCUGGGGAGGAGCUUUGAGUUUUCAGCUCUCUGCAUGGUGGCCUGUUUAAAUCUAGAAUUCCAGUUCCUGGGGAAUGAAUGUCCCCUUUUGACAACCAUGAGCUCUUCAUGCAUUUUAUGCACAAAUAUACCCAUAGACAAAUAACUAAAACACAUAAAGUAAAGUCAGUGUUGAACCCUUUUAAAAAUAAGUGUUCACAUCUAGGGUGGAACUCUCUAAGUAGAAAUUACUAUCCUUUACAAAGAUGUGUAAUUUGCAUUAAGACUUGGUUCCAGCUUGAGGUCCAACUGCAAUCCCCAUUUCUACUUACCCAGACAGUGGUUUCUGACUGCUUCCUCUUCUUCAAUACUCAUGAUCUGACAACACAGAUGUGAGAACUGAAUGGAAUUAAUAGUCUGCGGUUGAGGUACAAAUGAAUCUAAGACAAGUUGAUCUCUAUGUGUUUUUAUUCAAGUGCAAAGUAAAUUUGACAGUUGCAUUAGACUUAAGUCCCUUACAAACAUACAGAAGAAAACAUCUAAGAUGCUAGUGUGUUAUACUAACAAAGCUCAUGGCCAGAUUCAAACAAUAAAAUGAACAAAAUGAUUUUUUUCCAAUC
rnacentral:lncRNA from 1 species